CACACCCCCUACUGGGGAUGUGACCACAACCAAGGUUAUACAAUCACAUUUCAUGGAGCAGAGUGGAAAGUUAAUUGACUAUGUUUUUCUGUCAAGAAGAUACAUGUUAAGGCUGUUGUAGGGUUGAAGGGAGAAAGAAAUGACUGAGCCACGACUUUCCUUCUUCCUCUUAUUAAAAGCUCUGCAGUCAAAGCAGUCAGUUAAUAUUCUCAUGCACAGGCACAUGGAAACCAACCCUUCCCAUCUGCUUAUACAAAGAGCCAUCGUGAUGUGAGAUAAGACCAGUGUUCAAGAAAAAGGUACCUCGUUUCUCCAUGGGCUUUCUUCAGGCAUUUCCAAGGGUAUUGUGAGUAUUCCAGGUGGAGGAUUCUGGGAAACUAAUAUGGACGGAUGUCGGAUGCUCACACCUGAGGGAAAUGGAUACAGCAAAAACCACAGCCUGAAGCACUCCUUUCUUCUCAUCAGAAACACAGAGGAGCAUGAUGUGGCCACUCUCUCAGAGGAAAACUGCUGGGAGCCAUAGCGUUAGGGUCUCCUAGGGGAUAGAAAUUAUGCCCCUCUGGAGCAACAGCGGGGAGAAAACUGAAGCAUGCUUGAUUCAGAGAAAACAAUUCUCUGAGGCACAAAGAACUCCUUCCCCCAGCACUUGGCUCCUACUUCUGCUUUAUGGCUCUUGUAAUUGUGUCUGUGUGAAUCCAUGUUGCACCGACACAAGUUCUUGAUUAUAGUUAUCAAUCAAUA